rnacentral:rRNA from 1 species
UACGAAGGGUGCAAGCGUUACUCGGAAUUACUGGGCGUAAAGCGUGCGUAGGCGGUUUGUUAAGUCCGCUGUGAAAGCCCUGGGCUCAACCUGGGAAUUGCAGUGGAUACUGGCAAGCUAGAGUGCGGUAGAGGAUGGUGGAAUUCCCGGUGUAGCGGUGAAAUGCGUAGAGAUCUGGAAGAACACCAAUGGCGAAAGCAGCUUUCUGGGACGGUACUGACGCUGAGACGCGAAAGCGUGGGGAGCGAACAGG